AGAGUUUGAUCCUGGCUCAGAUUGAACGCUGGCGGCAUGCCUUACACAUGCAAGUCGAACGGCAGCACGGGAGCAAUCCUGGUGGCGAGUGGCGAACGGGUGAGUAAUAUAUCGGAACGUGCCCAGUCGUGGGGGAUAACGUAGAGAAAUUUACGCUAAUACCGCAUACGAUCUAAGGAUGAAAGCGGGGGACUCUGCAAAGAGCCUCGCGCGAUUGGAGCGGCUGAUAUCAGAUUAGGUUGUUGGUGAGGUAAAAGCUCACCAAGCCGACGAUCUGUAGCUGGUUUGAGAGAACGACCAGCCACACUGGGACUGAGACACGGCCCAGACUCCUACGGGAGGCAGCAGUGGGGAAUUUUGGACAAUGGGCGAAAGCCUGAUCCAGCAAUGCCGCGUGCAGGAAGAAGGCCUUCGGGUUGUAAACUGCUUUUGUACGGAACGAAAAGGUCUGCCCUAAUACGGCGGGCCCAUGACGGUACCGUAAGAAUAAGCACCGGCUAACUACGUGCCAGCAGCCGCGGUAAUACGUAGGGUGCGAGCGUUAAUCGGAAUUACUGGGCGUAAAGCGUGCGCAGGCGGUUAUGUAAGACAGUUGUGAAAUCCCCGGGCUCAACCUGGGAAUUGCAUCUGUGACUGCAUAGCUAGAGUACGGUAGAGGGGGAUGGAAUUCCGCGUGUAGCAGUGAAAUGCGUAGAUAUGCGGAGGAACACCGAUGGCGAAGACAAUCCCCUGGACCUGUACUGACGCUCAUGCACGAAAGCGUGGGGAGCAAACAGGAUUAGAUGCCCUGGUAGUCCACGCCCUAAACGAUGUCAACUGGCUGUUGGGUGCAUUAGUACUCAGUAACGAAGCUAACGCGUGAAGUUGACCGCCUGGGGAGUACGGCCGCAAGGUUGAAACUCAAAGGAAUUGACGGGACCCGCACAAGCG
rnacentral:rRNA from 1 species